AGACAGGUGCUGCAUGGCUGUCGUCAGCUCGUGUUGUGAAAUGUUGGGUUAAGUCCCGCAACGAGCGCAACCCCUUAUCCUUUGUUGCCAGCGGUCCGGCCGGGAACUCAAAGGAGACUGCCAGUGAUAAACUGGAGGAAGGUGGGAUGACGUCAAGUCAUCAUGGCCCUUACGACCAGGGCUACACACGUGCUACAAUGGCGCAUACAAAGAGAAGCGACCUCGCGAGAGCAAGCGGACCUCAUAAAGUGCGUCGUAGUCCGGAUUGGAGUCUGCAACUCGACUCCAUGAAGUCGGAAUCGCUAGUAAUCGUGGAUCAGAAUGCCCACGGUCGAAUACGUUCCCGGGCCUU
rnacentral:rRNA from 1 species